UCUCCGUAGGUGAACCUGCGGAGGGAUCAUUACUGAGUGAGGGCUCACGCCCGACCUCCAACCCUUUGUGAACCAAACUUGUUGCUUCGGGGGCGACCCUGCCGUUCGCGGCGUGGGGCCCCCGGUGGACCACCCAACCCUGCAUCGUUGCGUCUGAGUCGAAAUAUAAAUCAAUCAAAACUUUCAACAACGGAUCUCUUGGUUCUGGCAUCGAUGAAGAACGCAGC
rnacentral:misc_RNA from 1 species